rnacentral:tRNA from 1 species
CAAGAUGUAGCUUAACAAAAACACCUCGCUUACACCGAGAAAAUGCCUGUGAAACCCGGGCCACCUUGA